UACGUAGGGUGCAAGCGUUAAUCGGAAUUACUGGGCGUAAAGCGUGCGCAGGCGGCUUUGCAAGACAGAUGUGAAAUCCCCGGGCUUAACCUGGGAACGGCAUCCGAUACUGGAGGGCUUGAAUUCGGGAGAGGGAUGCAGAAUUCCAGGUGUAGCGGUGAAAUGCGUAGAUAUCUGGAGGAAUACCGGUGGCGAAGGCGGCAUCCUGGACCGAGAUUGACGCUGAGGAGCGAAAGCUAGGGGAGCAAACGGG
rnacentral:rRNA from 1 species